CGGACGCUAAUACCGCAUACGUCCUACGGGNGAAAGCGGGGGAUCUUCGGACCUCGCGCCAUUAGAUGAGCCUAGGUCGGAUUAGCUAGUUGGUGAGGUAAUGGCUCACCAAGGCGACGAUCCGUAACUGGUCUGAGAGGAUGAUCAGUCACACUGGAACUGAGACACGGUCCAGACUCCUACGGGAGGCAGCAGUGGGGAAUAUUGGACAAUGGGCGAAAGCCUGAUCCAGCCAUGCCGCGUGUGUGAAGAAGGUCUUCGGAUUGUAAAGCACUUUAAGUCGGGAGGAAGGGUAGUAACCUAAUACGUUGCUACUUUGACGUUACCGACAGAAUAAGCACCGGCUAACUUCGUG
rnacentral:rRNA from 1 species